rnacentral:rRNA from 1 species
GAUGAACGCUGGCGGCGUGCCUAAUACAUGCAAGUCGAGCGAACGGACGAGAAGCUUGCUUCUCUGAUGUUAGCGGCGGACGGGUGAGUAACACGUGGAUAACCUACCUAUAAGACUGGGAUAACUUCGGGAAACCGGAGCUAAUACCGGAUAAUAUUUUGAACCGCAUGGUUCAAAAGUGAAAGACGGUCUUGCUGUCACUUAUAGAUGGAUCCGCGCUGCAUUAGCUAGUUGGUAAGGUAACGGCUUACCAAGGCAACGAUGCAUAGCCGACCUGAGAGGGUGAUCGGCCACACUGGAACUGAGACACGGUCCAGACUCCUACGGGAGGCAGCAGUAGGGAAUCUUCCGCAAUGGGCGAAAGCCUGACGGAGCAACGCCGCGUGAGUGAUGAAGGUCUUCGGAUCGUAAAACUCUGUUAUUAGGGAAGAACAUAUGUGUAAGUAACUGUGCACAUCUUGACGGUACCUAAUCAGAAAGCCACGGCUAACUACGUGCCAGCAGCCGCGGUAAUACGUAGGUGGCAAGCGUUAUCCGGAAUUAUUGGGCGUAAAGCGCGCGUAGGCGGUUUUUUAAGUCUGAUGUGAAAGCCCACGGCUCAACCGUGGAGGGUCAUUGGAAACUGGAAAACUUGAGUGCAGAAGAGGAAAGUGGAAUUCCAUGUGUAGCGGUGAAAUGCGCAGAGAUAUGGAGGAACACCAGUGGCGAAGGCGACUUUCUGGUCUGUAACUGACGCUGAUGUGCGAAAGCGUGGGGAUCAAACAGGAUUAGAUACCCUGGUAGUCCACGCCGUAAACGAUGAGUGCUAAGUGUUAGGGGGUUUCCGCCCCUUAGUGCUGCAGCUAACGCAUUAAGCACUCCGCCUGGGGAGUACGACCGCAAGGUUGAAACUCAAAGGAAUUGACGGGGACCCGCACAAGCGGUGGAGCAUGUGGUUUAAUUCGAAGCAACGCGAAGAACCUUACCAAAUCUUGACAUCCUUUGACAACUCUAGAGAUAGAGCCUUCCCCUUCGGGGGGGCAAAGUGACAGGUGGUGCAUGGUUGUCGUCAGCCCGUGUCGUGAGAUGUUGGGUUAAGUCCCGCAACGAGCGCAACCCUUAAGCUUAGUUGCCAUCAUUAAGUUGGGCACUCUAAGUUGACUGCCGGUGACAAACCGGAGGAAGGUGGGGAUGACGUCAAAUCAUCAUGCCCCUUAUGAUUUGGGCUACACACGUGCUACAAUGGACAAUACAAAGGGCAGCGAAACCGCGAGGUCAAGCAAAUCCCAUAAAGUUGUUCUCAGUUCGGAUUGUAGUCUGCAACUCGACUACAUGAAGCUGGAAUCGCUAGUAAUCGUAGAUCAGCGUGCUACGGUGAAUACGUUCCCGGGUCU